CUCUGAUUGAACGUAUUUGCUUCAUAUUUGAAUUAUAUUUAAUUGCUCUGACAUUGUACUUUUCGGCUUGGAACACUGAACAUAAUGAAAGAAAAGAUAUUGACUCGAAAUAGAUUCAGAUUUGCAGUCAGGCUAUGUUGAGGACCCUGCCAAUGGGGGCUAAUACAUUGGUACCGCAAGAAGAAUAGUCGGUGAUAUGACCCUGUCACAGGGAACAUGUGGCCAUAGUCCUAGCUGUUGAGUUGAAUCUGAUAAAUUGAAAUAAAAUAAGAUAUGAACAAUAUUUGGAUUUGACACUGCAUGUUUUCAUGAUUGAAUUUAUGAAAUAGAAAAAUAAUUGAACUUCGAUCUGGCUAUGUUGAGGAC
rnacentral:lncRNA from 1 species